CCCUUAGAUGUUCUGGGCCGCACGCGCGCUACACUGAUGCAUUCAACGAGUCUAAAACCUGCUCUGAUAGGGGUUGGUAAUCUUUUGAAUGUGCAUCGUGAUUGGGAUAGAUGAUUGCAAUUUUUCAUCUUCAACGAGGAAUGCCUAGUAAACGCAAGUCAUCAGCUUGCAUUGAUUACGUCCCUGCCCUUUGUACACACCGCCCGUCGCUCCUACCGAUUGAAUGAUCCGAUGAAUAUCAUGGAUUGAGGAUGCAAGCAGGUUCGCCUGUCUUCAUCUUCGAGAAGUGAAGUAAAUCUUAUCAUUUAGAGGAAGGAGAAGUCGUAACA
rnacentral:rRNA from 1 species